GAAGGUGCUUAUUCCAGAGACAAUCACCUUUCCAGCCAGAUGGUAACACGUCUUUUCCAUGCCCAGGCACGUCCUUUAAAUGCUCUCCUGAGCUGGGCAGAAAGGGCGAGUCCCGAUGCGUCUAAGGGCUCUGCUCUGAGAUGGCGAGGAAAAAAAAGAGGAGGAAAAAAGCCAUCACCAGAGGUGUGCUGCAGCCACCACUGUGAAUGAGAGAAACUGGAAACACGGUUCUCUUCCCCUCUCUCCCCCUCUCCUCCUUAGUCCAUCUUCAGAGGACGCAGAGGAGGAUGCCAGCUGCUCUAUUUCAGCUACAGUGGAAUUUGGCAAUCGACCUAGAAAAUGAAGAGGAUGUGCACACUAAAGAAUCCAGAGUAGACUGGCCAUGCUGGGACCUGGAGGAGCUGAACAGGGAGCCAGCCUUUCUGGUCGCUAUUCAUUUAGUAAACUUCUGUUCUGAACUGACUCCUGGUGAUGCUGCACGUCUCGGGGUGCAGCAUGGCAUUUCAAUGAGCAUGCACGAGGCGUCGUGCUCGGAUCUGAGUGAGCGGUGACCUCAUGGCCUCGGACAGACGUCGCGUGACCGAAACCCUGUCGCCCAGCUCUUCUCAAAUGCAGAACCAGUCUCGGGCAGCCUCUGUCCUCUUCAACUUGGCCACGUGCAUGUUCAAACCACUGCUCCCAUCGUGAAGAUCAUCCCAACCAGGACGUCGGGAAAAGGACAGGGAAGGGCAGCUCUUCGUCCUUACAGGAGCUCCGUGCCAUGGCCCUGCUUCGGCCACCAGUGUCCCCUGGCCAGCCCCCCCCCCCCCUCCAGCUUGCCUCUUCUCCAGGACCCGCUUUCCGAGCUUGGGGAGGCAUUCAUUCUCCAGAAUUGCCGAGGGGGACGUGGUGAAGCCUCGCUUGCUGCCGAGUGGACCUGGCUGGGAGAUGACCACGGUGGCUGCCAGCCCCUGACAUGAACCUGCCUGCGGCAGCGCUGGACCUUUGCUUCUCGGCAGUUUGUGGCGCGGCCCGGUGCGCUACCCAGAGUUCCCACUAGAUGUCGCUGUUGCCACGUUGGAAACCUCGUACACGGACGCGUGAACCCCCGCCCCACCGCGGUUUGAUUUCAGUGGAUUUGGAACAUAAAUAUGUCCAUUUUUAAGCCACAGGGCAGAGUUUUCUCUAUAAAUUCUUGGGAUCUUUAUUUCUAUCACUUUUGUUGUUUUCUUUGCCUUGAUUGGGCAUACGCAACUCUCCGUGCAUGGUAAGUGUGUAGCUCCGGUGCAGGAUUUGAAUGGGCUUGAAAAGGGCGGAGUUCC
rnacentral:lncRNA from 1 species